CUACUUUCCAGUGUUUAUUUAGAAAUAACUUGAUCCUUUAUAAAACGGUGUCUAGAACAUUAGGUAUGCAGAGAACUCAUAUUCAUUUUAACUUCAUUUCAUUCUACUUUUGAUUUGUACAGUAAAUAAUAUUUCUUGUGGUGAACUCCGGAGAUUAAUUAAAGAAACCUAUUAAUAAAAAAACAUAAAAAAAAAAAAAAAACACAC
rnacentral:lncRNA from 1 species